rfam:Ricinus communis cultivar Hale ctg_1100012359553, whole genome shotgun sequence.
AGUUCGUGGUGCGGGCAACAUCAGAACAAGUCCUUGUACCUCUCCCAGGCCUCAUACAUGCUCUCGUCAUCAAACUGCACAAAAAAAGAUAUAUCAUUUCUCAAUCU